UUUGAUCAAUUCCCAGCCAUCAUGUCUUCAAAUAUUGCUCCCUUCCCAUACACUCUUCAAUCUCCUGGAUAUGCCGGCUAAGAAGCCAAGAAGGAAAACGUGUUAGUGGGAGGGUGACUUUCCCGCCUGCAGUAUCUGCAUCUGAAAGAUUGCUGGAAGAAAUGACAGUCAGGUUGGCCCCAGGCUGGCCUGACUUCCCACUCAGCCAGGUUUUUAGAGUCUUGAAAGCCAGCAAGAGCUCUUUCUUUGCAGAAGUAGCUGCCAGUGUUCCAAGGGCCUGGAAGACUCAGCCCUCCUGCCAUUGGCUGGGGCCGUGGGACUAGUUCUGGCAAAUGGAAUGGGGUCCAGGCGAGCGAACACCGCAUGCCUGCUUCUCCGGGCUCUCUCCUGCCCUGCCACGGCGAUUGUGGAGGAGGCCUGGCGUGGACCCGGUGUCCUGAAAGGUGAAAGCAGCCGGGAUCGCUGAGCCACGGCACAAAGGCUGCUGUGUGGUGGGAAGUGCACUCUAACUGCAUAAAACGGCUGAGAUUCUUGGGACCGUCUGUUACUACAGCACAGCCUAGCCGAGCCUAACGCACGCACAGACUGAGCCUCAGUUUCCCCUCCUCUGGGGGGAAUGACACCUAGUUUACGUGGUUGCGGUGAAGACUGAGAGGAUGGGUGUCAGAUUCUGAGCUCAGUGUCGGGUCAUGGGAGGAGUUCCCUAAAUGUUCGCUUCUUGCGCUCCCCUAGCAAGGUGCUCAUUCUUGGCAAAGGCAGGCAAGGCCACCUGACCAGACCUUCCCGUGGACCUCUGGGGCAUAACAGUGAGGCCAGUAGCUCCUCAUGGAAGGAGGCACACAAUCUUUAUUAAGCAGCAGCUCUUCUGAACUCUGUCUCUCCAUACUUCCCGGUCCCUUCCAUGUACAUCCUGGGGCAGUAGUUUGGGCUUGUUGAGCAACAUGGGACUGACGGCUUCUGACAUCCACCUUCCACUAGCAGCAAGCCGUGGCAGCUGCAUGUUCUCCCCCCACCAGCACCAGCUG